GAUGAACGCUGGCGGCGUGCCUAAUACAUGCAAGUCGAGCGAACGGACGAGAAGCUUGCUUCUCUGAUGUUAGCGGCGGACGGGUGAGUAACACGUGGAUAACCUACCUAUAAGACUGGGAUAACUUCGGGAAACCGGAGCGAAUACCGGAUAAUAUCUUGAACCGCAUGGUUCAAGAGUGAAAGACGGUCUUGCUGUCACUUAUAGAUGGAUCCGCGCUGCAUUAGCUAGUUGGUAAGGUAACGGCUUACCAAGGCAACGAUGCAUAGCCGACCUGAGAGGGUGAUCGGCCACACUGGAACUGAGACACGGUCCAGACUCCUACGGGAGGCAGCAGUAGGGAAUCUUCCGCAAUGGGCGAAAGCCUGACGGAGCAACGCCGCGUGAGUGAUGAAGGUCUUCGGAUCGUAAAACUCUGUUAUUAGGGAAGAACAUAUGUGUAAGUAACUGUGCACAUCUUGACGGUACCUAAUCAGAAAGCCACGGCUAACUACGUG
rnacentral:rRNA from 1 species